UCGUGGAUUUACUCCAGCAAAAGUAAGGAAGCCAUUCAGAAAGAAUUCCAGCAACUGCUGUUUAUCAAACGCAAGCCCGUCCCAGUUGGGAAGGAUUUCUCCCUUAGGGAGGUGUCCAUGCAGGUGAGUCAGAAAGGCUGAGAUGGUGGCCACCACCCCAUGACUGAAGCCCCACCCCUCCAGUGCUUUUAGGAUGUCAAAGUUAUGAGGUUGCAUUUUACUGUUGGAGCCACCCUAAGUCCUAGAUGACAUACAAAUAUCGUAAAAUAAAUCUGUGGAACCAUAAACCACCCAAACAGUCUGAAGAAACUCUACCAGGGGUCAGCGUGUUCUGCA